UUCAGCACCUGCAUAACAUUGACCUAAGUACCAGGCCUGUGAGGAGACAACCUACAAAUACAAAGGGCUCUGUGCAGCAGAGCGGCCAUAUCUGUUUGGGGACAAUCCUGACAAGCUCAUACGUUGUGGAUAAGAUAUCCAAGACACCCACACCUACCCUAUGCAUGAGAGGCAACCCCUUCGAGGAAGACAGCACCAUUACACUAUGCAUGGACGGACAAGACGUCGUAACACCAGAAGAUGUGUCGAUGGGCAUUGGAGCAUUGCUAGCAGUUUAUUUAAUUUUCAAUAUGGAAUACCUGUCAUUUCUGCAGUGCAAGGCAGGGAUCAAAU